CAGAAUGGAACAUCGACUAAGAACUGCCACGUCCUUAUGUCUUACGUCGAGGUCAGCUCAUCCUGUGCA
rnacentral:sRNA from 1 species